rnacentral:rRNA from 1 species
GACGAACGCUGGCGGCGCGCCUAACACAUGCAAGUCGAACGGAGCUGAGAGAAGCUUGCUUUUCUUAGCUUAGUGGCGAACGGGUGAGUAACGCGUGAGUAACCUGCCCUGGAGUGGGGGACAACAGUUGGAAACGACUGCUAAUACCGCAUAAGCCCACGAUCCGGCAUCGGAUUGAGGGAAAAGGAUUUAUUCGCUUCAGGAUGGACUCGCGUCCAAUUAGCUAGUUGGUGAGGUAACGGCCCACCAAGGCGACGAUUGGUAGCCGGACUGGGAGGUUGACACGCUACAUCGGGAAUGAGACACGGACCCGUCCCCUACGCGAGGGAGCAGUAGGGGAUACUGCACACUGGGGCAAACCCCAACGAAGCGGCGCGGGGUGGAGGAAGAAGCUUUUCGUAUUGCACAUUCCUGUCGUUAGGGACGAUAAUGACGGUACUUAACAAGAAAGCACCGGCUAACUACGUG